rnacentral:rRNA from 1 species
UACGGAGGGGGCUAGCGUUGUUCGGAAUUACUGGGCGUAAAGCGCACGUAGGCGGCUUUGUAAGUUAGAGGUGAAAGCCCGGAGCUCAACUCCGGAAUUGCCUUUAAGACUGCAUCGCUUGAAUCCGGGAGAGGUGAGUGGAAUUCCGAGUGUAGAGGUGAAAUUCGUAGAUAUUCGGAAGAACACCAGUGGCGAAGGCGGCUCACUGGACCGGUAUUGACGCUGAGGUGCGAAAGCGUGGGGAGCAAACGGG